GUCCACGCCGUAAACGAUGGAUACUAGCUGUUGGGUUGCAAGACUCAGUGGCUAAGCGAAAGUGAUAAGUAUCCCACCUGGGGAGUACGUUCGCAAGAAUGAAACUCAAAGGAAUUGACGGGGGCCCGCACAAGCGGUGGAGCAUGUGGUUUAAUUCGAUGAUACGCGAGGAACCUUACCAAGGCUUAAAUGUAGAUUGACAGGACUGGAAACAGUUUUUUCUUCGGACAAUUUACAAGGUGCUGCAUGGUUGUCGU
rnacentral:rRNA from 1 species